rnacentral:tRNA from 1 species
GCCCCGGUAGCUCAGCGGUGGAGCACCGGCCUUGUAAGCCGGGGGUCCCGGGUUCGAAUCCCGGCCGGGGCUCCA